rnacentral:lncRNA from 1 species
CCUAGGCUGCGAAGUCCCUCGGCUUUGUGAUAUAGUGAGAGAUUCCAGUCUUGGAACCCAGAAACAAAAUCCAAAUGAUGUGGCAGUUAGAAUGUAGGUUUAUUGACUAGGAUGCUGAUGGGGUAUUCAUGGGUUUCUAAGGGAUAGAAGCCCUAGAAUGAUGACACCCAGUGCUCCUUUGAUCUGGUAGUUACACACCUUACUGGUCAUAGGUCCACCAACCCAGCAGAAAAGAAAGUACCAAUAAGCUGUUUCCACUCGCUUCUGCCUUCGUCUUCUUGUAAUGUUUCCUACCACCCUGUUUGGAAGCUUGGACAAAACUACUGAAUGAUAAAAGACGCCUUGGAGAGAGAGGCCCAGCUAAUAUCCAGCAUUAAGUCCCUAGAUAUGUGAAGGAGGCCAUCUUAAAACCUCCAACCCCAGACCAACUGCGAGAUAACUGAUGCCUCAUGGGAAAGCCCAGGGAGAUUGCAACAGAUAAAAUCACAACCAAAAUACAGAAGACAGUAAGAUGAGUGAAGUCAAAUCAUGACUUCAUGUUCCAUAUUGGAGAAGUUAUUCUGGUGACUUUUGCACAGACGGCUUAAGCAUUGAUCUCCAGGCAAAGAAUAAAGUAGGAGCAGAAGAUCUGAGUCCAAUGGGAGUAAAACAUAAGGAAUUUUGGGCAGUGCUGAAGAAAGUAGCUUUGAUAUCUUAAGAUUUCCUGGGCCACAGACCAGAGGCAAAUGUUAGACCACCACAGUAACAAAAGUGUGGUGUAGUGGAAAUAACCUAGAUUUCCUGGAAGCCAAGGGUCAAAUAUAUUAAUUCUAAAUUUGCUAGCAACCUGUUCCUUAGCUUCAGCAAAGUUGUUUAUCCUCUCUGUACCUUGAUCUCCUUAACUCCAAAAGAAGAGGAUUUUACAGUCAGUAGCAAAUUUUCGUUCAAGUCCUGGCAAAACAACCUUCUACAAGGCUUGCUUCAUUGAUAGCAGUAACCACCAUUUUGGGCACAAGUAGCUCCAGUGCCCAUUCUUGUACAUCUUUUUGUAAUUCUGAAUAGUGUCAUGGGCUCCUUCUACCCAUCUCAAGAAGAGUCAACUAGUGGAGAAACCUCUAGGAUGAUCCGAUUGAGAUUUUUUGCCAACUUUAUUAUUUCCCAGUAAUUCUAAUUUAAACUAAACCUUGUUAGUAAUUUGAGAUUAAGGUUAGGAAAGAGAGGAGUACAAAUCUUUAUCUGAGUGACUCCAAAUAAUGAUCUACUUUAAAAAAUACUUCGGAGUUGUCAGCCUUGCUUGAAUUGGUGUGGAGAGUGUGAGCGGAAGUGAGUGCUCUGUGUGAAAGAAAAUCAUGGGAUUCAGGACACUACAAAGGCACACUGGGCUUCAGUUGCUGAUCGCUAUUGAUAAGCUGCUUUCCUUUUGCAGAAGUGAGUUAAGCGGACAGCUUCACCCUGUCUUCACUGGGAAGAUCAGAUUUAAACUAUUAUUCUGCCCUUGUUUAAAAGGGAAGAUAUUUGGUAGAGACACAUACAAAGUAUGGCACCUAGAGACCUCAAGUUUUCAGUGUAGACAGAAGAUGGAAGACUGCUAGGAAGCAGUGCCACCAAUGAAUGCAUAACCCUCUUCUCCAACUUAUUACCAAUACUAGGAAUUAUCUAAAUUUUAAUCUUUGCUAAUUUGAUAUUUAAAAAUAUGAUCCAUUUUUUGUAAGAUAAAUAAAGUCUUAUGUAAAAAUUAAAA